AACCUGCCCAGAACCUCCAUCUGCACAUGCUCCUGGGCCUUCAAGACAGAAGUGGUGAGGAGUGUGCACCCCCUGGUGGUCCCAAUCCCCUUCUACAGGGAGGUUUGUGUCUGAGCUCACACUGAGAUCCCCUCACUGUGUAACUCGCACAGUAAUACACAGCCGUGUCCUCGGCUCUCAGGCUGUUCAUCUGCAGAUACAGCAGUGUUCUUGGCAUUGUCUCUGGAGAUGGUGAAUCGGCCCUUCACAGGCGUCUGCAUAACUUGUGCUACUUCCACUUCCACUAGCAUAAAUCCAUUUGACUCACUGCAGCCCCUUCCCAGGCGCCUCGCGGACCCAGCUCAUGGCAUAGCUACUGAAGGUGUGUACAGAGGCCACACAGGAGAGUCUCAGGGAACCCCAAGGCUUCACAAGGUCUCCCCCAGACUCCACCAGCUGCACCUCACCCUGGACACCUGCAGACACAAGACAUCCGGUCAGGACACUGUCCCACAUCCCCUGUUUCUCUCACUCACCUCCACUCACAGACUCAAGGUCUCCUGUUCACCAUGAAUUACCUUGUAAAACAGCGACAAGGAAAACCCAGCUGAGCACAGACUCCAUGUUGAGUUGUCUCUGUUCUCUCCUGAUCACUGAAUGCGGUAACCUGGGGAUCCUGGGGCUGGGACUCCUCUCCCAGCUGCAGGAUCCGGGCUGGGCUGUUUUAAUCAGUGGAGAGAAGGCACUAUUUGCAUGUUCUCUGAGUAUAUAACCAGCUCCAGACUUACAUUCGAGUCUUUAAUGUCAACACAAGUAUUGUACCACAAUUCUCUAGCAAUUUGUGUAUAUGGCACUAUGACUAUAUGAAGUUCUAACAUGUAUGCAGAGUUAUCUUUGCAUUUCUGGCUGCAUUUAUAAAAGACUUUCAUUAAUGUAGGUCAUUUUCCACAGAGUAUUUUAUCUCCUUAGUCAGUUUUAAUCCUGAAUAAUUAUUUUUGAUACCAGUGAAAACCGAAUCAUUUUGUUAAUUUUGUAUAGGUAAUUUGUUAGUUUGUAGAAACAUACCUUUAUUUUAUUUGCUUAUUUUACAUCCUUAUUUUUUCCUGAACUCAUGAGUUAUUUCUUCCAGUUUUUAUGUGAGGUUUUUACUCAUUGACUCUUUUAAGACAUUGUUAUAGGCAAACUAAUUAUUUUCUUUCAGUUCACCAAGUUUUCAUUUCUUUUAUAUAGUUUUCUUGUCAGGUUUUCUGGUAGGUCCUACAGUCUGGGGCAGAAACUAUUUCCCUCUUGUCUUUUGGAUCCAUUGUCUGUUCUAAUCAUGCAGUUGAUAUAAGGCCGACCUAGAGGGGACAAUAAAGUUCAUUUUGCAUGUGAAUGACCUACCUAAUAUAAAGUGAGAGUCGGCAACUCAACUCAGGACAGGGUGUCUCUUCAUGUCUUCUGCCCAUUUCUGAUUGUAGUUUUCACUUUUUUAGUAGUUUUGUUUGAUGAUUUCUUUCUCUAUUUUGGAAACCAGCCUUAAUCUGAAGAUAGAUUUGCAAAUAUCUUAUUUAUUAUUCAUGAGAGAUAGAGAGAGAGAGAGAUGCAGAGAAACAGGCAGAGGGAGAAGUACACUCCCCACAGGGAGCUGUCUCAAUCCCAGAACCCUGGAAUCCCUGAGCCAAAUACAGAUGUUCAAGCUACACAGGUGUCCCUAUAUUUUCCCAUUUCUUACGUUGCCUUUUAAUUAUGUUGAGUGUUUCCAUAGCUGUAUGACAGCUCCUUCCUUGGUGUAGUCCAUGGAGUUCAUUUUUGCUUUUGUUUUCCUUCCCUUUGAAGACUUGAGUACCAAGGACCUUUUGUGCCCGAGGUCACAAAAUCUCUUGGAUUUUGAUGGUUUCCUGCCUCACAUUUAGGUCUUUCAUCUACUCUGAGUUUAUCUUUGUUUGGAAUAUAAGAAUGUGGCCAGGUUCAUUCUUCUACUUGCAGCUGUCCAAUUUUCCAAACACCACUUGUUGAAAAGAUUGUCCUUUUUCCAGUCGAUAGUCUUUUGUACUUUGUCGAGAAUAAGUUGACCACAGAGCUGUGUGUCCAUUUCUGGGUUCUCUAUUCUAUUCCAUUGACCUAUGUGCGUGUUCUACCACCACUAUUAUACUGUCUUGAUUACCACAACUUUGAAAUCCCCAACUGUGAUGCCUUCUGCUUUGGGUUUUUUUUUCCCAUAUUCC
rnacentral:lncRNA from 1 species